rnacentral:rRNA from 3 species
UACGGAGGGUGCGAGCGUUGUCCGGAAUCACUGGGCGUAAAGGGCGCGUAGGCGGCUCGUUAAGGGUGCGGUGAAAGCCCGGGGCUUAACCCCGGGUCGGCCGUGCCGACUGAUGAGCUCGAGCACUGUAGAGGCAGGUGGAAUUCCGGGUGUAGCGGUGGAAUGCGUAGAGAUCCGGAAGAACACCAGUGGCGAAGGCGGCCUGCUGGGCAGUGGCUGACGCUGAGGCGCGACAGCGUGGGGAGCAAACAGG